UUACAGAUGCAUGAUAAUAUGCUUGGUAUUUGCAAUUGUCUAAAUGGUGAAUCAUUUAGUCCACAAGGCAUCACGAAAAAAGAAGUUGAAUUAAAAGUUGCACGAUUUUUUAAAAACGCCACAGAUUGCUUUGAUGGUCGGGUGCGGUGACGUAAGAAAACAGCAGUUUCGGUUGGCGCGAAAGAUACAGACAGUGACAAUUAGAUAUGAAAUCACACAUACAGUCACAGUCAUACACACACAAAUAAUAUAAACGAGCUAAAAGAAUAUUGUUGCACAACAGCAGCAGAGGAGGAUAAAACAAAUACUUGUUUGAUAAGUGUUUCCUAAGGUGCCUUUAAAGUGAAAAGUAAUG